CAACCUCCCACUGAUGUGUUAGAUCCCUGAACCCCUACCUACUGUUCUUUAAAAUGUGUUUAUAAUGUGUACAUUUUUAGCUUAGCGGCUGGUAAGACCAAAUAGACUAUAUUAUUACUAUUAACACACACACACUUGACCAAUAAGCCCAGGCCACAACAGCCAGCCCAGCACAGUCACCAAAAAGAUCAGACCUUUCACAGGACCCACCAACCACAUGAAGCCUGGGGUGGAAAGUGAAUAACAGAUCAUGCCGUCACAGUCACCAUUUGUUCCAACAGAUGAAUAUUUUCUGUUCUCUGUGCUACACACAGCCCUGUAACACCACCACAACAAACACUUGCACUCACACACACAGCAGAACUGAAUCAGCACAGCACCUCAGGAGAAGUGGACCUUCAUGUGCCUGACAAUCUCACCCUUAGUCAUGAAACGUUUCCCACAAACAUCGCACUUGAACCCUUUAUGACCAGAGUGUCUGAAGAGGUGCAUGUCCAAUAUCCUCUUCAGUUUGAAUCUUUUCCCACAAACUUCACACUCAUGACUUCUUGCAGCAGUGUGUGUAACAAGGUGUAAUUUGAUGGUACCCUUCUGAAUGAAACAUUUCCCACAAACUUCACACUCAUGCUUUCUUUCACCAGUGUGUGUAAGAGUGUGUAAUUUGAGGUUACCCUUGUGACUGAAACAUUUCCCACAAACUUCACACUCAUGCUUUCUUUCACCAGUGUGUGUAAGAGUGUGUAAUUUGAGGGUACCCUUCCGACUGAAACAUUUUCCACAAACUUCACACUCAUGAUUUCUUUCACCAGUGUGUGUAAGAGUGUGUAAUUUGAGGGUACCCUUGUGACUGAAACAUUUCCCACAAACUUCACACUCAUGAUUUCUUUCACCAGUGUGUGUAAGAGUGUGUAAUUUGAGGCUACUCUUCCGACUGAAACAUUUCCCACAAACUUCACACUCAUGCUUUCUUUCACCAGUGUGUGUAAGAGUGUGUAAUUUGAGGGUACCCUUGUGACUGAAACAUUUUCCACAAACUUCACACUCAUGAUUUCUUUCACCAGUGUGUGUAAGAGUGUGUAAUUUGAGGGUACCCUUCUGAUUGAAACAUUUCUCACAAACUUCACACUCAUGGUUUCUUGCACCAGUGUGUGUAAGGGUGUGUGUGUUGAGGUGACCCUUAUGAUUGAAACAUUUCCCACAAACUUCACACUCAUGAUUUCUUUCACCAGUGUGUGUAAGAGUGUGUAAUUUGAGGUGACCCUUAUGAUUGAAACAUUUUCCACAAACUUCACACUCAUGAUUUCUUUCACCAGUGUGUGUAAGGGUGUGUGUGUUGAGGUGACCCUUCUGACUGAAACAUUUCCCACAAACUUCACACUCAUGGUUUCUUUCACCAGUGUGUGUAAGGGUGUGUGUGUUGAGGUGACCCUUAUGAUUGAAACAUUUCCCACAAACUUCACACUCAUGGUUUCUUGCACCAGUGUGUGUAAGGGUGUGAUGUUUGGGGUUACUCCUAUUACUAAACCUUUUGCCACACUCCCGACUUUUAUGAGGUCUUACACCAGAGUGUGUGGGUGUAUUUGUUGAGGUCAUCCUUCCCUGCAUGUCUUUUCUCACACUCUUGGCUUUGGUCAGUAAACUUGCUCUCAUUCUCAGAUCUUCUGACACAUCUGAAAUUCAAACUUCCCCCUUUGUGGAUGAAGAGGCCAGCAGUUGUUGUUGUUGUUGGUGGUUGUGUUGGUGGUGUUUUUUAUCACUCCUGAACCUCACACCAUUAGCAGUCUGCUCCUGCUGAUCCCAGCCACUCCAGCUGCUGUCCCGCCUUGCAGCCUCCACUGCAACACUACUCUGGAUGUGAGGAGUUGGCUGGCCUUGAGGAACCUCAGAGAUGCUGGAGAAGGCGGCGAGGUUGCUUCAAAGCCACACUCAGUGACCAAUUGAGCAGGCAAGGUGAGGGAUGCACGGAGUCCUGAAGUCAGCGGCAGCAGGGACGGAACAAGUACUGACCACAGCAACUGUCUCGAUGCCUCACUUCAACACUAACACCAGUGGUGGACAUUGGGACACAAAGUCAUGUGCUGAAAAAAAAAAAAGAAAAAAAAAGAACAUAAGAACAUAAGAACGUAAGGAGUCUGCAAGAGGCCGGUUGGCCUAUACAAGGCAGCUCCUGUACACUCAACCCCACCUUACCUCACCAUCCAUGGCUUUAUCUAACCUCUUCUUGAAUGUAUUUAUGGUAUUGGCGCCCACAACAUAGCUCCCAAGCCUGUUCCAUUUGUCCACCACUCUAUUGGUGAACCAAUUCUUGCCUAUGUCUUUGUUGAAUCUGAAUUUGUCUAACUUAAAACCAUUGCCACGCGUCCUACCUGGCUCUUUCACUCUCAAAAUUUUAUUGACAUCCCCUUUAUUAAAUCCCUUCAUCCAUUUAUAAACUUCGAUCAAGUCUCCUCGCAACCUUCGCCUUUCUAGAGAGUGUAGAUUUAACUGCUUCAGCCUGUCUUCAUAAGGCAAGUUUCUCACCCCCUGAAUCAUCUUUGUCAUCCUCCUCUGUACAGAUUCUAACAUCUUGAUAUCCAUUCUAUAAUAGGGGGACCAGAACUGAACUGCAUAAUCAAGAUGAGGUCUAACUAAUGCUAAGUAAAGUUUGAGGAUGACUUCAGCGCUCCUAUUGCUCACGGUCCUUGAGAUGAAACCUAGUAGUACUCUGUUUGCCCAAUUUUUAGCCUGAAUGCA